rnacentral:rRNA from 1 species
UACGUAGGGUGCAAGCGUUGUCCGGAAUUAUUGGGCGUAAAGAGCUCGUAGGCGGUUUGUCGCGUCUAUCGUGAAAACUGGAGGCUUAACUUUCAGCGUGCGGUGGAUACGGGCAGACUUGAGUUCGGUAGGGGAGACGUGGAAUUCCUGGUGUAGCGGUAGAAAUGCGCAGAUAUCAGGAGGAACACCGGUGGCGAAGGCGGGUCUCUGGGCCGAAUACUGACGCUGAGGAGCGAAAGCGUGGGGAGCGAACAG